AUGUACAUUCCUACAACAUAGCGUUAAUGCACUAGAUCACAUUAGAACUCCGCAUUUAAGUGCGUUGAGGCUAGAGUAGUACUGAGAUGGGUGAAUGCCAAGGUAUUUUACAUG
rnacentral:rRNA from 1 species